rnacentral:misc_RNA from 1 species
AACGCACGAGACCUGCGGACCUGCGGAAGGAUCAUUACCGAGUUUACAACUCCCAAACCCCUGUGAACAUACCACUCGUUGCCUCGGCGGAUCACCGCGCCCCGUGAAACGGGCCGGCCCGCCAGAGGACCUAAACUCAAAUGUUUUAUUGUAUCUUCUGAGUAAAAACACAAAUAAAUCAAAACUUUCAGCAAUGGAUCUCU